rnacentral:rRNA from 1 species
UGGGGAAUAUUGGGCAAUGGAGGAAACUCUGACCCAGCAACGCCGCGUGGAGGAAGAAGGUUUUCGGAUCGUAAACUCCUGUCCUUGGAGACGAGUAGAAGACGGUAUCCAAGGAGGAAGCCCCGGCUAACUACGUGCCAGCAGCCGCGGUAAUACGUAGGGGGCAAGCGUUGUCCGGAAUAAUUGGGCGUAAAGGGCGCGUAGGCGGCUCGGUAAGUCUGGAGUGAAAGUCCUGCUUUUAAGGUGGGAAUUGCUUUGGAUACUGUCGGGCUUGAGUGCAGGAGAGGUUAGUGGAAUUCCCAGUGUAGCGGUGAAAUGCGUAGAGAUUGGGAGGAACACCAGUGGCGAAGGCGACUAACUGGACUGUAACUGACGCUGAGGCGCGAAAGUGUGGGGAGCAAACAGGAUUAGAUACCCUGGUAGUCCACACUGUAAACGAUGAAUGCUAGGUGUAGGGGGUAUCGACCCCUUCUGUGCCGCAGUCAACACAAUAAGCAUUCCGCCUGGGGAGUACGGCCGCAAGGUUGAAACUCAAAGGAAUUGACGGGGGCCCGCACAAGCAGCGGAGCAUGUGGUUUAAUUCGACGCAACGCGAAGAACCUUACCAGGUCUUGACAUCCACUUAAACUUACAGAGAUGUAAGGUGUGCUUGCACAAAGUGAGACAGGUGGUGCAUGGUUGUCGUCAGCUCGUGUCGUGAGAUGUUGGGUUAAGUCCCGCAACGAGCGCAACCCUUAUCUUCAGUUACUAACGCGUGAAGGCGAGGACUCUGAAGAGACUGCCGGGGACAACUCGGAGGAAGGUGGGGACGACGUCAAAUCAUCAUGCCCCUUAUGACCUGGGCUACACACGUGCUACAAUGGCCACGACAGAGAGAAGCGAAAUCGUAAGGUAGAGCGGAACUCAAAAAAGUGGUCCCAGUUCGGAUUGUGGGCUGCAACCCGCCCACAUGAAGUCGGAGUUGCUAGUAAUCGCGGAUCAGCAUGCCGCGGUGAAUACGUUCCC